rnacentral:tRNA from 1 species
UGGGUUGUGGCUCAGUGGUAGAGCACUCACUUAGCACGUGUGAGGGACUAGGUUGGAUCCUUAGCAUCACAA